CCUGAACUCCAGAUAUUUACUCAAUGUUAAAACAAUGUGUAACGCCGGCAAACUUAUGACUCAUUCUCUGUAACAGCUUCCCGGCUGGCUGCUCAACGAAGCGGGCGGACAAAAGGGGCUCGACGUCGUGGCCGGUGUGAGGAGAGCGAAGAGCCGGCGGCUAACACCAAUUGCUGGCGGUCCAGACGCGACGGAGGCCGCGCAGCAUGUUUCGGGAACGAGGUGGUGGUCGGGGGGGAAGCUAGGAGCCGAGGCACCGGGGCUGCGGUGGUUCCCAAGGUUUUCCGGUUGACGUUUGCCGGGUUUAAGCCAACUUGUCGAGGUGUUUAGAGCCAAAUGUGGAAGUGGGAGGAGCGUCUUGGUGGUUUGGGGGCAUGAAGUCCACAGACGGAACGCCUCUGUCGGCCGAAGACACUCGCGAAGAAGGGGGAGAAUUGAGCUGCGGUGGUGGUGAAGCACAGAAUGGGACACGGGGCGGCGGUUCGCACGCGGGUUGAAGGGGCGGAGCUCGCGACAAAGCAGAUCGACCGCGGGAGUCGCCGCGCCGAGAGUUUUCGCCGUCAACCUGACCGGGAGAGAGCCGAGGCAGCAAUCACUCACGUUUGUCCUGACCAAGGGUUAAUCUGCGAGGGCCCCUGCAGGCGUCUCUCCGUGAAGUUUGAGUCGGGGAAGACUGUCCACACGACAACCACGCCAACUACACCACUACAAGUGUCAGAAGGAUUUGAGGACGGUGGGGAAUUAUUGGAAAUCCACAUCUGGCUCAGACACUUGCACUCUCCCACGUGUGCACAGAAACAAGAGGGAGAGCGAGAGACAAAGUGAGGGAGGCCAAUAAAAAGACUGGUGCAACAGAGGAGAGGGCAGAUGGAGGCAUGGCGGGUUGAAGAAGAUUGGUCUGGAGAAACCAACGUCGGUGGGGAUGGAGGAAUCGCAGAGUUAGGUGAUCGUUCUCUGCAAAGGAUUAUGCAAAAUCUACAGAACAGACUUCCACAAUCUUCGGAAGUAUGGGACAUGGGCCAACUUCCAAGAGAGAACCCAUGAUGUUUUGGUGUGGAUCCAGACAAAGAGUUGCCAGUGCUUUCCCCUCUGCUCCCGGAGCAUCUUCAUCACCGAGGGCGUGGCACAAGCAUCGCUCACCCAGACGGCGGCAGAUGAAUGGGCGCUGUGCGUCUGGAGGUUCGUCAAGCAGUCGCCUCUUUCAUCAAAAGUCAAUCUCCUACACGCUUGUGUCGCACGUAUCUGUGUAUCUCCACGUCUGUGCGGUUAUCUCCCCUCGCAGCCCGAGCUCAAGAUAUACAAGGCGGUUGGCCCGACGCACGGCAUUGCCCCCUGUCUGUGCUGCCACAUGACCCGUCGUGUUGAGCGUCAGCAGUGACGUCCAGGAUGAAGGGAAAGAAGUCCCAGUGUGGAGCAGGAGUUCUUGACAUCAG